rnacentral:rRNA from 1 species
UACAGAGGUCUCAAGCGUUGUUCGGAUUCAUUGGGCGUAAAGGGCGCGUAGGCGGCGGGGUAAGUCGGGUGUGAAAUCUCAGGGCUCAACCCUGAAACUGCACUCGAUACUGCUCUGCUUGAGGACUGGAGAGGAGACUGGAAUUCACGGUGUAGCAGUGAAAUGCGUAGAUAUCGUGAGGAAGACCAGUGGCGAAGGCGGGUCUCUGGGCCGAAACUGACGCUGAGGAGCGAAAGCGUGGGGAGCGAACAGG